AACGCGAAGAACCUUACCUGGGCUUGACAUGUUCCUGACAGCCGUGGAAACACGGUCUCCCUUCGGGGCAGGAUCACAGGUGGUGCAUGGCUGUCGUCAGCUCGUGUCGUGAGAUGUUGGGUUAAGUCCCGCAACGAGCGCAACCCCCGUCGCAUGUUGCCAGCAUUUAGUUGGGGACUCAUGCGAGACCGCCGGUGACAAACCGGAGGAAGGUGGGGAUGACGUCAAGUCAUCAUGCCCCUUAUGUCCAGGGCUACACACGUGCUACAUUGGCGCGUACAGAGGGUUGCGAUACCGCGAGGUGGAGCGAAUCCCUUAAAGCGCGUCUCGGUUCGGAUUGCAGGCUGAAACCCGCCUGCAUGAAGGCGGAGUUGCUAGUAAUCGCGGAUCAGCACUGCCGCGGUGAAUACGUUCCCGGGCCUUGUA
rnacentral:rRNA from 1 species